UAACUUUUUUACCGAAAACUGUGAUGCACAUUAUGGGGUGCAAUCCAACUUGGAAUUCAUUUUUUUAAUGUAAGUAGUACCGGAAAAAUCGUUAAACAAGCCUCAACUUCUUUAUUUUGGACAGUGUGUCACGUGACUCGGUUUCUUUCACUACGGAAUACCAGAAAAGACAAACAAAAGGGUUUGUCUACUUGUUAGCCUUUCCACCGGAAGUACUUAUUCAAACACUAUGCACAUUUGGAGGUGAAAUUAAACCUGCGACAAGAGAUAGGAAGAAUGUCCAAAAACAGGAAAAUUACCUUGAUUUUUGGAGGGUUUGUAACUGCCGUUGCUGCAGCGUUUUACCCUAUAUUCUUCUACCCGUUCACCCACAAAGACGAGUAUAGAGAAGUCCAGAAGGUGAAUCGUGCUGGAAUCAAACAGGAUGAUGUGCAGCCUGCAGGUCUCAAGGUCUGGUCUGAUCCAUUUAAGUCGUCAGACAAAUGAUUCCUGAUGAUGACAACAUGGACAGAUGAUACAGAUUCCUCAAGCGACAGUGUGAGUGAAGUAAGCAAGGCGAGGGGAAAUGGAAGCGAGCGUCCAGAGGAAGAGAAGCACAUUCUUGAGAAUAUAUGACUUGGCUCAGAGAGGGAAUUCUGGGAAAGUCAUGGAAUUUUGGAGGCCUUGACGGAACACAGGCUGUCUGUUCUUGGCUCGUUCUGCGCGGAGCAGGAAGAGGAGGGAGGAGGUGGGCUAGAGUGUGUUGUGGACCUUAAGGACACCCGAAGGGAGAGGACCCGGAACAAUGACAGCUUUACGGCACAGUGGUCUCGAUGAUGUUCCAAAAGAACAAAUAAAGUUUUGAGCAUUAAGUAUCCCAAACAAAACCUUAUUGGCUUGUUAGUCAGCAGGAUUACACCCAAGCAUACACAAAACCUUGUGGUGCAAUGAGGCAAAGAGCAACUCCAGUUUUUGCUUUGGAUCUG